AUAAUACGCCCCGCAAAGUCAAUGAGAUGGUUGCAAAGAAAUGGCUAUGUAGCUCAGUUGGUUAGAGCACAACACUC
rnacentral:tRNA from 1 species